rnacentral:tRNA from 1 species
CACUAUGAAGCUAAGUAGCAUUAACCUUUUAAGUUAAAGACUGAGAAACUAAUUCUCCAUAGUGA